UCUAAAAGAGUUCUCAGGUUAUGAAACUCUGCUGCAUGGACUUUACUAAAUGCUAUUUAAGCUCCCGCGGGCCACACAAAAGGGCUUGGCGGGCCACAUUUAGCCCCCGGGCCUUGAGUUUGACCUGUAUGUCCUAGUGUGUCCACUCAUGCGUAAGACAAGCUAGGCUAGCUAGCGCCCUCCUGUGAUGGGACUGCCAUGCUGCAGCAUUGUGGUGAGACACCACACCAAGUGUGAGGAGCUUAACGAAUAUCAUUUAAAAGUGUUCUCAGCUUUUUUAAAACAUCUUCAUCAUUUGUCCUAAGUGAUCUCUACAAACUGCUGAAUUACUGUCCUGCCACUUGUCCUUCCAGAAUUCAGUACAACGUGGCAGCCAAUGGGGAGUGCCACUGCACACAAUCCCCACACUUCUUUCGUUUCUUCUCUGUAGUGUUCAAUUCCCAAGUGCCGCAUCAAUAUGUUUCUUCCUUAAUCUUAAAGUCUUCUUUCUGCAAAUACACUAUAUGUUGUAAUAUCAAACAGUGGCCGAACAGAACAUCACAUGGACAUCUUUAUCUGAGGGUUAGUCCUGUUAUACUACUAUUAGAAGGAGUUGCUGUUUGAUGUGCGCACAGAAACAAACAAGACCUUACAGCGUAAUGCAGCAGUCAAUAUUGAAUCAGAGACACAAUAGGACCAAAGAAAGUCCUGUUCCACUUAUACAUAUCCUGUUUGUGAUGCACUGUCACCAGAAAAAAUGUGUGGCUUCUCUACUUGGUUACCAUUGCUGUUGGAUCUUCAAGGGUAAAUUUAAAUUAUUGUUACCCCCUAGUUGGUGUAUGUAGGCCAGGAGUUUGAAACCUCUGAUUUCAUUUUUUAUUUUAUUUUAUAUUUUGCAAAAUGACACUUAUUUACUUCUACAGGCAGCAUGUACGAACCUGAAGAAAUUCAUGUUUGUACUAAAACAUGGUGAACCCUACAGUGACCCUAGGGAAAUACAAGGAGAUAUUCACUUACUUGGAAACCUAACUCAUCUGGCACUACAUUCAAGUUCUAAAAUCGAGGCAAAACUGAAGCACUACACCAAGUUCAUGUUUGUCCGUCAUCCAUUUGUACGAAUCAUUUCUGCCUACGUUGACAAAAUUAGGCACCGGGAUUCCUAUUUUUAUACCACAUUUGUACGGGAUAUUCUAGUCUCUAUGCUAACCACACAAAUCCACCAGAGACAGUUGAAGAGGGAAACGCACAGGGAUUGGUUCCAUCCUUUGAAAAUUUCAUUCAGUACUUGGUGGAUCCACGAACAGAGAAGCAAAAGCCAUUUGAUACACACUGGAGACAGAUGCACCGCUUGUGUAAUCCCUGCCUCGUAGAGUAAGAUCAUAUUUUUUUAAACAGAAGUGACACUUUGUUU